GACGAACGCUGGCGGCGUGCUUAACACAUGCAAGUCGAACGGAAAGGCCCUGCUUUUGUGGGGUGCUCGAGUGGCGAACGGGUGAGUAACACGUGAGUAACCUGCCCUUGACUUUGGGAUAACUUCAGGAAACUGGGGCUAAUACCGGCUAGGAGUUCCUGCUGCAUGGUGGGGGUUGGAAAGUUUCGGCGGUUGGGGAUGGACUCGCGGCUUAUCAGCUUGUUGGGUGGGUAGUGGCUUACCAAGGCUUUGACGGGUAGCCGGCCUGGGAGGGGGACCGGCCACAUUGGGCCUGGAAUGCGGCCCGGACUCCAACGGGAGGCAGCAGUGCGGAAUAUUGCACAAUGGGCGGAAGCCUGAUGCAGCAACGCCGCGUGCGGGAUGACGGCCUUCGGGUUGUAAUCCGCAUUCGCCUGUGACGAAGCGUGAGUGACGGUAAUGGGUAAAGAAGCACCGGCUAACUACGUG
rnacentral:rRNA from 1 species